UCUAGAUCUUCCUGCUUUCCAACUCACUUAACUGGAGAUGGUCACGAGAACAAGACGUUCAGUUGCUGUAUUCCUACUUUCAGGCACUCUGGACUCAGGAGAGUCCAAAGUGAGAGAUUUUCAUUCCACUGUUGACCUCAGCUCAGCCCUCUCCUCUGAAGCUUCUGGUCAUGUGUUGGGAGAUACCAGCAGGUACCAUGAGGGAGCUUGGGACAGCCCACUGGAGAGCAGACCACACUCACCGGAGCAGGCUCACACCUCCUGCCACGUGUGUGUGUGUGUGUGUGUGUGUGUGUGUGUGUGUGUGUAGAGGGGACAGAGGAGAGGUGCAUGCCCUUCCUGGGCAGAAACCAGCUUCCAGGUGUUGGAAGUCUGACACAUAUCUUGUGUUCAGACCCUAGGUCAUAGCAGGCAAGAUGAGAAGGUGAGUGCUGGGGACCAAGCUCAAUAAUGAAUAUGUUAGUCAUGAGCCCAAGAGUCUCUUUCAUCUGGCUUCCUCCUUGCCAGAUGUCUUUUCAGUGGCCCCUCUUGGCCUGAACUGGAGAACACGAUUUCUAAUGGGGGUGUCCUCUUGUGGUGAUGUCCAGGGAGGACCCUAAUGUCUCUUGGCCCUGUAUAUAUAGGACAUUGUAUUUCCAGAGCUUCACCCAGGAGAUCUUGGAGGAGAUGGUCUGUGGCUUUGACUAUUCCAACACUAGACAAUUAUCUGGUGCACCAGGCAAACAAGGAUCAGUGCUUUUCUGAGGUGAGAAUGGGAAGCAGGUUCUCCACACAAAUAUGGCUCCCACACAAACAUGGAGAGAAACCUGAGGCCCUUCCGUAGUGUUUCCAUGUGAGUGUCCCACAAGCUCAACCUCAAAGUGAUCUGAACCUCUAUGCCUAGCCACUAGCUAUGGGAUGAGGUGGGAAGACACUCUUCACCUAUGUUGGAAUGGUGCAGAAUAUAUUUAAUGUUUUUGAGGGCUUGUGGGGGUUGUUUUGUUUUGUUUUUCACAAGCAAUGAGUAUCUUUGCAUUUUACUACUGUUUUUAUUAUUCCACCUACUCAUCCCAGAUAUCCUGUGUAGAACCCAGCUUCACUGUCCCUGCAGAACUUCUCCAAGCCCUUACAAAUCAUCACACUAAAGAGUGUGAUUUAACACAAAAGGAAGGGUGGGAUGAAGCCAUUCUAUAUGUUUUCCUGUAACGUGUCCUCUCUCAGAACACAUCAAAUCAUUGUAGGCCCAACAGGUCAUGAGCUUUGUCCUUAUAGAUCUUCACAGUACUACAUAAAUGAAGCCAUCUGCCACAGUGAUUCAGUCUUUCAAGGCCCUUGGCACUUGACUUGAUGCCAUUCUCUUGUCAUUUCUGCAGUGCUUUAAAGAAUGCCUUACGUGUCCUCACAGACUGUUUUAGUUGCUAGAUCUGCUAUAACAUGGAACCCCAGAUUGGGUGAAGGUCUCUGUUGCCUCCUGGCCCUGGUAGCUGGCUCUGUCCUUCCUUAGAGAUCCACCCAGAAAUCUUUGAUGAGCUGCUCCAAGGGUUCAACUACUCUAUCUCCCCUGACAAGCAUAGGUGCAUCAGGCCACCAACUACAAGUGCCAAUCUGGGGUGAGAACAGGUCCACAUUCAUGUCCAAUUUCAAGACCUAGAGAUGAUCAGGGAAACCCAGAACCCAGACUAGAAACAACUGGCUCCCCUGGGGCCUGCUGAGGAAUGUGGUUUUCCCAUGACCCUUUCUCCCCAUUUCAGGAACAGACCAAGCCACAUCAGUUUAGGGGAAAUGCAAUGCAGCCCAUACUUUGGACAAUUCUCAGGCCCAACGUAUGUGAUCUUGAGCAGCAUUUAAGAUUCUAACCCUCUGUGUUCUAUUGGCUUUCAGAUGUUAACUGAUGACUCAAUGGCAUACUGGUCUUCAUAAAAGCUAUUAGUUGAGAGAAAUGCUGUUGUUGCUCAGCUAACAAAGUGUGUAGAAGUUACCAAUGGAUUACCAUGUCUCCCCUAAAACCAAUUGUACUUUGAAGCCAAAACUUUUUUCUGUGUGGGCACUCAAGUCCCUUGUCCUGUACAAGUUUCUGAGGGAAUGGGGGGUCUCUGGUCUGAGUGCCAGACCCUUAUCUUCCCAGUGGUUCAUGGUUUUGAAGCUGACUAGAGUGCCCCUCCUUGUCUCUCUGGUGUGAAAAGGAAUCAACCCUGUCCCUGGGUGAGGCCUGCACCCUCCUGACUCUCAAGGAAGGCACAAUGGAGAAUUUCAUACAGUACCAUCCUUCCUUUCAUACCAUCCUUCAAGGAUAGAAACCUCUCAAACAUCCCAAUCAUUUCCUGAAUAUACCAGAUAUUCACCACAGCCCAACAAGUCCUGAGCCAGCAGUGAGUGACCACCCCAUGUACACAGCACAGGGGGUGAGGCUCACCUCUACUACUGGUAUGUUUUGGGAAUGUCAUUGCAUCUCUCUGAGGUUCCUUUUCCUCUCCUGAAAAGUGGGUGUGGUAAGAGGAUGAACCUCAUGGGGCUACUGUGGGAAAUCAUGGGAGAAAACAUGGCAUAGACUUAUCUGGUGCCUGACUGUGUAGAAAGAGCUGCUGGACAUGCUGGACAUCUUCAUGUGUAGCAGUUCUCUCUCCCCAGUGAAGAAGUUCUCAAUAUCAACACUCAUGGGCCUGUGGCACUUCAGGUUUACAGAAGCACAUUGGAAAGCAGGCAGUUUUCCUGUUUGCAGAGGACUUCUGAGAUUCUGUCUAACUGGUCCUGCUACUUGUCCUUUAUGUGCCCAGAGUAGAGGUCACUGGGGGCAGGCAGAACAGCUCAAUUUCUACUCAGUAUAAGGAGAGUGCUGGUUGGAAUUCCUUCAUCCAAUAAUAUAUAUUAAGCACCUAGUAUUGCAGAUACAUUUCUAGUCACUAAGAUAAAUGAAGGAAUAAAAUAGAUACAAUGUCUGGGUCUCAAUUCUAAUCAGAGAGUCAGACAGUCAAUGACUCUACAAGUGUAAGCACCCAUGUCCAUAGUUUGUUAGAUGUGACAUCUUCAUGGCCACCUUGAGGGAUGAAUGGAUCACCCAUAUUUGGACCAUUUUGAUGGACAAUAAGAUCAAAUAAGGGCACCUGGGUGGCUCAGUCAGUUAGGCCUCUCUCUUAAGCUCAGAUCAUGAUCUCCAGGGUCCUGGGUCUGAGCCCUACAUUGGGCUCCCUGCUCAGAGGGGAGCCUGCUUCUCCCACUCCCUCUGAUGCUCACCCUGCUUGUAGUCUCAGUCUCUCUCUUUCCAAUAAAUUAACAAAUAUCCUUUAAAAAAUUUAAAGAUCAAGUAAAACUUUGAUUGGUCUUUGGAUCCAGAAGGAGGGCCUUGCUGCCUCCACAGAGCAUGUUGAGAGACUACAGGGGCUGUGGCUGAGGAGGGACUUUCAGAGCCAUAGGUCUCACAGAUCUCUUGAUUUCCACUUGGAGGGCUUCAUUUUGGGGACUUCAUGGAAAGAGGCAAAUGAGUCAAAGGGAGCUGCACAUAGGGUCCCAAGCCCUCUGGGAAGCAGAGCACAGUCUGGGCUGAUUUGGUGCCUCAAACACCCAUCCUUUCAACUGUCCCAUCUUGUUCUGCCUGUCCCUCUCCAUACCACCUCUGCUGACCACCACACCUGAGGCCAAGAACACAAACUCUGGUGAGCAGACCACCAACCAAUAUGCUGACAACCUAAGCCCUGAUCCUGGUUUACAUGGAGGGUGGAGUAGACAAGGCCCUUGGCCAUGGAGAAGAGGAUAAUUAGAAAAACCAGACUAAUACAGGUUCUCUGGAUGACCAGACCUUCCACUUCAAGGACAGCUACAGAGGGGUUGGAAAUCAGGCUGAGGCCAUUCUAUGGGACCAUACAGAAAUAAUGGUGCUAUGGGAGUACCAUGUGAAAGGAAAGGCCAGGCCUCUGAUGCUGCUCUACAUAUGACUCUCCCCAGCACCUUCUCUCCCAUCUUGGGUACCUGGCCUGACCAGAAAUUGCAGGAUACCUGGAAGUCCCUGCACCUUGAACUGCCACCUGGAGCUUGAAGUUAAUGAGGAUGAUCAGGGUGCAAAUGCCCUCCUUCCUUCCCUGACGGUAUCUGCUCUUGGCUCAUCCUAUCCUGGGUUCCCUCAGUGAAGAGGAAUGGAAUUCAAUCCAGGAACUCCAACUGGGCUCAGACCACAUUCUCAGCUUCCUGAGCUCCAGCUCUGACCUGUACCCCCUACAUAGGACUGUAUGAGUGAACGUCCCCCUCUUCUCUUGAGUCUGUUCAAGAAGGUGCUGCCCCAUCAGGGCCUGGGCUCCAUCUGGCCCAAGAAGAAUAAGCCUGGCAAUUAGCACCUGGCAUGCACAGUCCAUGCCACCAUCACCCAGUACAACUGUGUGGCCAACUGCAUCAUCACCACUUGUCUUGGAAACCCAGGCAUGACAGCCCGGGACCGAGCCAUGGUGGUGGAGCACUGGAUCAAGGUGGCCAAGGCCUGUCAAAUCCUGUGGAACUACUACUCAUUGCUCUGCAGAGUGCCUCAAUUCACUGCUGAAGAAGACAUGGGCCAAAGUUUCCAGGAAGAGUUUUCAAACAUUUAAAAAGCUGUGCAUUGAAGACAACCCACAGAGUAAGAAGCUGCUUAUCCAGGGUGUUCUCUCCUUCCUUGGCACCUUCCCCACUGACCUGAUGAUGCUGGAUAUUGCAAUGGAGGAGUACUUGGAGGUGUGUGAGCCUGAGAGCUGGGGAGGAGGGGCCAGAAUCUUGAAGUGUGGUAACAGAUAGCCCCUGGACUGAGCCCUGAGCUCUCAGUACUUGGCAAACCUUCCCAUCAUGACAGCCUCACAGCCUCACAGUUGCUCCUGUGGGCUAGGGUUUCUUGCUCAUGUCAGUGAUGAGUGAGGGGAGGCUGCACUUAGUUCACUGGUCCUGGGAUCAAGUCUGCUGCCUGAAUGCAAAGCAGCAUGAGGUUUGUCUGGGUUGACCUCAGCCUCUUCCUUAAGGGUUGCCUGUGAGAGCAGAGUGAAAUCAGGACACCCCUGUACACAUCAGCAAGCACUUAAGGAGCCUAGCAGCCCCUGCCCACCUGAGGCUUUGGCCUCCCCUUCCUGUGCUACAGGAUACCAGAGCAGCCACCUCAUGUCUUCCUUUCCCUGGACCCCAGAGGCUGGCCUAGACUGCAGUCCUGUCAUCCGUGUACACAUGGCUCCCUUGUGUACCUGGCCUUAGUGCAGCCAGAAGGAGUGGGUAUUAGCAGCUAGUAAUAAUCAAGGUGCUUUUACUGAUGGACUUUGGUUGUCUGCUUUCCAGGGGAAUGAGAUCAACCACCAGAAGAAGGUGACGCUCUGUAUGACUUCCAGUAGGAAUAGUUUGAUAAAGAAGUGAAAGUCCCAUCUAGUUAGUAAGUGAUGACAGAGGAAUGGCAAUCAAGGAUAACUUCUCAGAAGAGGGACAGUUUAUACUACUCACCUCUGAGAACAAGUUGGGACUGGAUGAAUUUGCAGGAAGGAACACAAAAUCAUGACGGAGAUCAUGCUGCUUCAGGUGGCUGCAGAUCAUUACAACAUAGAGCCCAAGGAUCCAUUUAGGGCUUGGUUCCAGUCUGGGGAGUGGCUCGGUGAAGAGGAGAGAUAAGACUCAUAAGGAGCUGGCUACAUCCUGUCCUGCCAGCUGGAGUCCUGAUCCUAGCUGGCCAACAGAACUCAAGAACAGAAAGAAUUGGCCACAGUCAAGCUCAAGGCUGAGCCAGUGUCCAGUGGCAAUGCGACAUGCAGGAGACCCAUCUGCUCAACACCUCUUCCUCCCAUCUCUACUUAUUUGGAGGGCCAACAUUUCAUUGUCUUAAAUGGGAAUUGGUACAUUUUAAUGUUAUUAUAUUAA